AACGAACGCUGGCGGCAUGCCUAACACAUGCAAGUCGAACGAGACCUCCGGGUCUAGUGGCGCACGGGGGCGUAACGGGUGGGAACCUGCCCUUAGGGUCGGAAUAACUCUCCGAAAGGGGUGCCAAUACCGGAUAAUGGCUUCUGACCAAAGAUUUAUCGCCUUUGGAUGGGCCCGCGUGGGAUUAGCUAGUUGUUAGGGUAAAAGCCACCCAAGGCGACGAUCCAUAGCUGGUCUGCGAGGAUGAUCAGCCACACUGGGACUGAGACACGGCCCAGACUCCUACGGGAGGCAGCGGUAGGCAAUAUUGGCCACUGGGCGAGAGCCUGAUCCAGCAUCGCCGCGUAAGUGAUGAAGGCCUUAGGGUUGUAAAGCUCUUUUACCCGAGAUGAUACUGACCGUACCGGGAGAAUAAGCCCCGGCUAACUCCGUG
rnacentral:rRNA from 1 species